rnacentral:rRNA from 1 species
AGAUUAGAUACCCUGGUAGUCCACGCCGUAAACGAUGUCUACUAGCCGUUGGGACUCUUGAAGUCUUAGUGGCGCAGCUAACGCACUAAGUAGACCGCCUGGGGAGUACGGCCGCAAGGUUAAAACUCAAAUGAAUUGACGGGGGCCCGCACAAGCGGUGGAGCAUGUGGUUUAAUUCGACGCAACGCGAAGAACCUUACCUGGCCUUGACAUGCAGAGAACUUUCCAGAGAUGGAUUGGUGC